CGUAGGGGUGCAAGCGUUAAUCGGAAUUACUGGGGCGUAAAGCGUGCGCAGGCGGUUAUGCAAGACAGAGGUGAAAUCCCCGGGCUCAACCUGGGAACUGCCUUUGUGACUGCAUAGCUAGAGUACGGUAGAGGGGGAUGGAAUUCCGCGUGUAGCAGUGAAAUGCGUAGAUAUGCGGAGGAACACCGAUGGCGAAGGCAAUCCCCUGGACCUGUACUGACGCUCAUGCACGAAAGCGUGGGAGCAAACAGGAUUAGAUACCCUGGUAGUCCACGCCCUAAACGAUGUCAACUGGUUGUUGGGAGGGUUUCUUCUCAGUAACGUAGCUAACGCGUGAAGUUGACCGCCUGGGGAGUACGGCCGCAAGGUUG
rnacentral:rRNA from 1 species